UGCGGGGUCGUCUAACGGUAGGACUGCAGACUCUGAAUCUGCAUAUCUUGGUUCGAAUCCAAGCCCCGCAG
rnacentral:tRNA from 1 species